AAACAGCUUGCUGUUUCGCUGACGAGUGGCGGACGGGUGAGUAAUGUCUGGGAAACUGCCUGAUGGAGGGGGAUAACUACUGGAAACGGUAGCUAAUACCGCAUAACGUCGCAAGACCAAAGAGGGGGACCUUCGGGCCUCUUGCCAUCGGAUGUGCCCAGAUGGGAUUAGCUAGUAGGUGGGGUAACGGCUCACCUAGGCGACGAUCCCUAGCUGGUCUGAGAGGAUGACCAGCCACACUGGAACUGAGACACGGUCCAGACUCCUACGGGAGGCAGCAGUGGGGAAUAUUGCACAAUGGGCGCAAGCCUGAUGCAGCCAUGCCGCGUGUAUGAAGAAGGCCUUCGGGUUGUAAAGUACUUUCAGCGGGGAGGAAGGGAGUAAAGUUAAUACCUUUGCUCAUUGACGUUACCCGCAGAAGAAGCACCGGCUAACUCCGUGCCAGCAGCCGCGGUAAUACGGAGGGUGCAAGCGUUAAUCGGAAUUACUGGGCGUAAAGCGCACGCAGGCGGUUUGUUAAGUCAGAUGUGAAAUCCCCGGGCUCAACCUGG
rnacentral:rRNA from 1 species